CACCAAAUAGUAUACAUAUCAAGAGAAAGUGGUAGAAAUAUAAUAUGAACGAUGAGAAUACCCGUAUUCCCUUCAAACAGGCAAAUUCUUGGCGAACCAACGAAAGUGACUUGCAAGACCUUUGUUAUUUUAAAUGUUAGGGUGACUACUGGCAAUUUAAGCCAGUCUCGGAUAUUUUAUAAUGUUAGGAGCUUCACCAAUCUCUAAAAUCGAGUUUGUAAUGUUUAAAAUCGUUGCAUAUACUUGUUAGAGGAACGGGCCCAGGAAAAAGAGGCGUAGACCAUUAAUCGUGGGGUAUAAAAUGGCAAGGACUUUUCUGGCUUUUCUGCCAGGUAACCCUCUCAGCUAAUUUAUUUUUAAAAAUUGCUAUAUUCUAAACUGGC